GCGCUCAUAGCUCAACCGGAUAGAGUGUCUGACUACGAAUCAGAAGGCUGUGGGUUCGAGUCCCUCUGGGCGCA
rnacentral:tRNA from 1 species